UACGAAGGGGGCUAGCGUUGCUCGGAAUCACUGGGCGUAAAGCGCACGUAGGCGGAUCGCUAAGUCAGGGGUGAAAUCCUGGAGCUCAACUCCAGAACUGCCUUUGAUACUGGCGACCUUGAGUCCGGGAGAGGUGAGUGGAACUGCGAGUGUAGAGGUGAAAUUCGUAGAUAUCUGGAGGAACACCGGUGGCGAAGGCGGCAUCCUGGACCGGUAUUGACGCUGAGGCGCGAAAGCCAGGGGAGCAAACGGG
rnacentral:rRNA from 1 species